rnacentral:rRNA from 1 species
GCAUAUCAAUAAGCGGAGGAAAAGAAACUAACAAGGAUUCCCUUAGUAACGGCGAGUGAAGAGGGAAGAGCUCAAAUUUUAAAUCUAUCAUGUUGUACAUGAUCGAGUUGUAAUUUGAAGAAGCGUUUUCUCGUACCUUAUGAUCAGUAUAAGUUCUCUUGGAACAGGACAUCAUAGAGGGUGAUAAUCCCGUCUGUUACUGAUUGUGAGGUUCGUUUAUGAUACGCUUUCAAAGAGUCGAGUUGUUUGGGAUUGCAGCUCCAAAUGGGUGGUAAACAUCACCUAAGGCUAAAUAUUUGCGAGAGACCGAUAGCGAACAAGUACCGUGAGGGAAAGAUGAAAAGAACUUUGAAAAGAGAGUUAAAAAGUAUGUGAAAUUGUUGAAAGGGAAACGAUUGAAGUCAGUCGUGCAGUCAUCAAUUCAGCGGUUAACAUUUUAUGUUUCCGUGUAAUUUGGUGUCUGUUGGUUAGCAUCAAUUUUGAUUGUUAUAAAAAGGUUAAGGGGAUGUGGCUCCUUCGGGAGUGUUAUAACCCUUAGCGUAAUGUGACGAUUAGGAUUGAGGUUUGCAACGAAUACCUUUUAGGGCAGUUUCACCUGGCCUCUCGUGGAAUUAUAGAUAGUUAAGAGCAUGCUCUUACUGUUUAUGAUUCUACGAAAAGGUUGGAGUGUAAAACUAAUUCGUUAAGGAUGUUGACGUA